UUUAUCACUUCUAAAAAAAUUGGUAUCAAAAGGUAACAUACUUCAACUAAAUUUUUAAAAGAUGAAACUCUAACAAUACUAAAAUCUAGAAGAAGAAAAUCAGAAACUCGGAUUCCAUACCGACGCAACUACGAACAGUGACUCAUUUUUAUCCAAAAUAUUAACCAAAAUAAGGCAGAGAAUCGAGUAAAGCAAUACUUUGUGCAGAUUUUAAUAUUAAAGGCAUUUACGUCAGUUUGUGGGGGAUAAGAAAGAGGGUUAAGGAACUAUCACAGUAAGCAGAGAAGACAUAUGCUACCCAAACUUAAGUUCCAUAGAUAACUCUUUAAAUAUAUUAACACUAAGACCAUUUAAAGUAAACAAGCUCAGGUUGAUUAGUCAUCAACAAAAUGAACAAGAGCAAAAUGAGAAACACAUGCUAAAGGCACAUACAGAGAAAAAAUAA
rnacentral:lncRNA from 1 species